AGGGAAUCUUCCACAAUGGACGCAAGUCUGAUGGAGCAACGCCGCGUGAGUGAGGAAGGUUUUCGGACCGUAAAGCUCUGUUGUUGGUGAAGAAGGAUAGAGGUAGUAACUGGCCUUUAUUUGACGGUAACCAACCAGAAAGUCACGGCUAACUACGUGCCAGCAGCCGCGGUAAUACGUAGGUGGCAAGCGUUGUCCGGAUUUAUUGGGCGUAAAGCGAGCGCAGGCGGAAGAAUAAGUCUGAUGUGAAAGCCCUCGGCUUAACCGAGGGAUUGCAUCGGAAACUGUUUUCUUGAGUGCAGAAGAGGAGAGUAGAACUCCAUGUGUAGCGGUGGAAUGCGUAGAUAUAUGGAAGAAUACCAGUGGCGAAGGCGGCUCUCUGGUCUGCAACUGACGCUGAGGCUCGAAAGCAUGGGUAGCGAACAGGAUUAGAUACCCUGGUAGUCCAUGCCGUAAACGAUGAGUGCUAAGUGUUGGGAGGCUUCCGCCUCUCAGUGCUGCAGCUAACGCAUUAAGCACUCCGCCUGGGGGAGUACGAC
rnacentral:rRNA from 1 species